CAGAGUUGCAAAACUCCCUAAACCAUUGUGAACGUUACCUAAACCGUUGCUUCGGCGGGCGGCCCGGGUCCUUCCCGGCGCCCCCCGGCCCUCGCGGGCGCCCGCCGGAGGUAAACCAAACUAUUGCAUUAAUGGCCUCUCUGAGUCUUCUGUACUGAAUAAGUCA
rnacentral:misc_RNA from 1 species